rnacentral:lncRNA from 1 species
CUUAACACUGUGGCUAGCCUAAUGGGUUUUCUGAAAACUUACCAGUGUCAGCUCAGAGGUUCCUGGACAUGCAAAGCUGCUAUUAAUACCUUCAUACACAGCACAAAAAAAGAAAGAGUUCCGAGAAGACACAAUGUUGUUUACAGGAUAGGAUGGGAGAUAUGAGCAUAAUCAUAGGCACACAGAUACUGCGGCCAAUGAAAGAUGGAGUCUCACUCCAGGCUGAUGUACAGUGGCGGAAUCUCAGCUCACUGCAACGUCUGCCUUCUGGGUUCAAGUGAUUCUCUUGCCUCAGCCUCCCAAGUAGCUGGGAUUACAG